rnacentral:rRNA from 1 species
CCUACGGGAGGCAGCAGUGGGGAAUCUUGCGCAAUGGGCGAAAGCCUGACGCAGCAACGCCGCGUGCGGGAUGAAGGCCUUCGGGCUGUAAACCGCUUUCAGCAGGAACGAAAAUGACGGUACCUGCAGAAGAAGGAGCGGCCAACUACGUGCCAGCAGCCGCGGUGACACGUAGGCUCCAAGCGUUGUCCGGAUUUAUUGGGCGUAAAGAGCUCGUAGGCGGUCUAAUAAGUCGGGUGCGAAAACUCUGGGCUCAACCCGGAGACGCCAUCCGAUACUGUUAUGACUUGAGUUCAGGAGGGGAGCGGGGAAUUCCUAGUGUAGCGGUGAAAUGCGCAGAUAUUAGGAGGAACACCGGUGGCGAAGGCGCCGCUCUGGACUGAAACUGACGCUGAGGAGCGAAAGCAUGGGUAGCAAACAGGAUUAGAUACCCUGGUAGUCCAUGCGUAACGGUAGGGCGACUAGGUGUGGUUCGUACUAACGAACUACGCGCCGUCGCUACGCAUAACGUACCCGCCGUCGGGUAGGUACGGUCGCGAGAACGUAAACGUUAAAUAGAAGUUAGUAACGGUCGUGUUAGACGUGCCGACGGACGACGACGAGGGAGGAGG